UUCGCAAUGCCCGAAAGGGUGACGAAGCGACGCCGCGUGUGGGAAGAAGGCCUUCGGGUUGUAAACCACUGUCGGGAGUUAAGAAAUGCAAGGAUAUGAAUAGUAUCUUUGCUUGACUAAGGCUCCGGAGGAAGCCACGGCUAACUCUGUGCCAGCAGCCGCGGUAAGACGAAGGUGGCAAGCGUUGCUCGGAAUCACUGGGCAUAAAGCGCGCGUAGGUGGCCUUAUAAGUCGGCGGUGAAAUCCCAUCGCUCACCGAUGGAACUGCCGCCGAUACUAUAGGGCUUGAGGACGGUAGGGGAGAGUGGAACUCCUGGUGUAGCGGUGAAAUGCGUAGAUAUCGGGAGGAACGCCGGUGGCGAAAGCGAUUCUCUGGUCCUUUCCUGACACUGAGGCGCGAAAGCUAGGGGAGCAAACAGGAUUAGAUACCCUGGUAGUCCUAGCUGUAAACGAUGGGCACUAAGUAGAGGGGUUUUA
rnacentral:rRNA from 1 species